rnacentral:rRNA from 1 species
GACGAACGCUGGCGGCGUGCUUAACACAUGCAAGUCGAACGGAAAGGCCCUGCUUUUGUGGGGUGCUCGAGUGGCGAACGGGUGAGUAACACGUGAGUAACCUGCCCUUGACUUUGGGAUAACUUCAGGAAACUGGGGCUAAUACCGGAUAGGAGCUCCUGCUGCAUGGUGGGGGUUGGAAAGUUUCGGCGGUUGGGGAUGGACUCGCGGCUUAUCAGCUUGUUGGUGGGGUAGUGGCUUACCAAGGCUUUGACGGGUAGCCGGCCUGAGAGGGUGACCGGCCACAUUGGGACUGAGAUACGGCACAGACUCCUCCGGGAGGCAACAGUGGGGAAUAUUGCACAAUGGGCGGGAGGCUGAUGCAGCAACGCCGCGUGCGGGAUGACGGGCUUCGGGUUGUAAACCGCUUUCGCCUGUGACGAAGCGUGAGUGACGGUAAUGGGUAAAGAAGCACCGGCUAACUACGUG